rnacentral:rRNA from 1 species
UACGUAGGUCUCGAGCGUUUAUCCGGAUUUACUGGGCGUAAAGCGUGCGUAGGUGUCUGAUUAAGUCUUCGGUUAAAGCCCCGGGCCCAACUCGGGAAUCGUCGAGGAAACUGAUCAGAUUGAAUAUGGCAGAGGUAGAUGGAAUUCGAGGUGUAGGGGUAAAAUCCGUCAGAUAUCUCGAAGAACACCAGUGGCGAAGGCGAUCUACUGGGCCAAUAUUGACACUGAGGUACGAAAGGCGUGGGGAGCGAACGGG